rnacentral:lncRNA from 1 species
CUCCCCUCCUCCAGCCUGUGUGAAGUGGGGCUCGUGGCUCAGGCAAGCUGGGGCCAGGCCCGCUGCCCAUUCCGAGAGGGAAACUGAGGCACAGAGGAGGAAGAAACAGCCAGCUGAGGUUCACGCCCACCUUGACUGAGCAGCAGCAGUCAACUGCAUGGAAUGUUCAUUCUAUGCUCCGCCCAGGCCUAAACCCUCCCCUGGCUCAGCAGAUACCCAAGCAAUA